rnacentral:rRNA from 1 species
CGGCCCGUACCCUAAACCGACUCAGGUGGUCAGGUAGAGAAUACCGAGGCGUUCGGGUGAACUAUGGUUAAGGAACUCGGCAAAAUGCCCCCGUAACUUCGGGAGAAGGGGGGCCAUUGCUGGUGAUGAGUCUUGCACUCUGAGCUGGUGGUGGCCGCAGAGACCAGCGAGAAGCGACUGUUUACUAAAAACACAGGUCCGUGCGAAGCCGUAAGGCGAUGUAUACGGACUGACGCCUGCCCGGUGCUGGAACGUUAAGGGGACCGG